AAUAAGUGUAGUUUUGCACUAUUCACGUUCAACGUUUCAUCGUUUGUCUUAUUUAAAAAAUUUUUAUGAUUAGUAUUUUUAUUGCUAUUAGAUAAAAAACAUGAAUAGUACUUUAUGUUUGACUAAAUUUUUUUAUUUUUUUAUAAAUUUUUCAAAUAAAACGAACGGUUAAAUAUUGGACACGGAUAUCCACGGCUGUAUUUAUU
rfam:Oryza nivara chromosome 5, whole genome shotgun sequence.